CAGACAUGUUAAAGUCAAGUUCAGCCAAGCAGGGCAGCAGCAUGCCUUCAUGUUUAUGUGUGCGCACACACAUGUGUAUGUUCAUGUGUUUGCAUAUGCACGUGCGUGUGGGUGCACGUGGUAGAAAUCUGAAAACAAUGUCAAAUGUUUCUCCUCAAGUGUUAUCUACCCUACUGGACAGAGGGAGGGGACAGGGUCUUUCGCUGGCCUGCAAUUUGCCAAGUGGGCUAGGCAGGCUGGCUGGCCAAGGAGCCCCAGAAAUCCUCCUCCCCACACCUCUCCUGCACUGGGGUUACAAGUGCCAGCCACUUACUGCAGGCUUUAUUCCCAAAAAAAAAAAAAAAAAA
rnacentral:lncRNA from 1 species